CAUUCACCUGGAAAUCCGUGGUGACCACUGCUCCUGCUGUGACCCAUCUUCCAGGGGGCUGGGGGCGGACUGUGCAGGUGGGCAGUGCUGCUUCUUCCUGCCUGGGCUGCUAACCACUCCAUCUCCAGCACCCACAGCAGUGUCUGCAUGAAGAUGACGCUCAAUACGUGUGGAAUGUGGGCAUGACCGUGGUUCAGGAGCUCACAGGGCUCGGCACGUGACUCCAGUCAGUCCAAGGGGUACUGACGUGGCUCAAACCAGUCCUUCAGAGUUCUUCCUGGGAAGCAAAGGGAAAGAAAGCUUCCUGUCCCCUUCAGGUCACCAUCUGUAAGGACAGAGACUUUGGGCUGCCAGCAGCCGUCUCUCCCUCCAGAUGAAGAGGCCCAUUUGCGGCCCAAGGGCCCAGUGGCAGCGGAAGGAGAGGAGCGGUGCUGACGGAUGGAGACUUGGAAGGAGGAAGAGACAGCCCCUGAAUCCAGCUGUUGUGAAAGUUGCCCUUAGAAGUACAAGAGAGAAUACACAAGGUAUUCUUCAGGUACUAGCUGCUCUUCAGGAAGAUUUGCCUCCCUGGUAUAUUAGAGAAUUGCUACAAGAUGCUACAAGGGGGGCCUGUGCCGCUUCUCUGUUCUCUCCCAGCUCUGGAUGUUGCUGUGGUGAUGUGACACCAGGAGCAGUGGCAGCUCUUUUAGGAUCAGGAAGUAAAAUGCUUCGGAAUGUGGAACAUGACAAGAACCGUGGAGUAAAGAAGAGCCACAAAACCAAGCUUGAGACCCGACGCCUCCAGGCCUCCUGUUAGGUCAAUAAGUGUCCAUGUGAUUUAAGACAAUAUUAGGGUUUUCUCUCAUUUGAGUGUCGUGUAUAGCAACAGAGGCCCCAUCCUAGCCAACGAGGUGCUUGGUAUACAGGGAAUCAUCUUGAUAGGGUUUGGAUCUGUGUCCCCACCCAAAUCUCAUCUUCAAUUUUAAUUUCGGAUGCUGGAGGUGGGACCUGGUGGGAGAUGACUGGGCCCUGGGGACGGUUUCUAGUGGUUUAGUACCAUUCCCCUCGUGCUGUUCUGGUGAGUGAGUUCUCAUGAGAUCUCGCUGUUUUAAAGGGUGUGGUCCCUCCACCCCGCCCCCCGCCACCUCUUCCUCCUGCUCUGCCCAUGUUGAUGUGCCUGCUUCCCCUUCCUCUUCCACCAUAAGUGAAAGCUCCCUGAGACCUCUGCAGCCACUCAGGGAGGAACCAUGCAGCCUGCAGAACCAUGAGCCAGUGAAACUUCUUUUCUUUAUCAAUAACACAGCCUCAGGUAUUUCUUUACAGCAAUGUGAGAACAGACUAAAACAAGUCACGACCUUUCAGUCCCAGAGUCCACAUUCAUGAUCCCAACAGGGAAUGGAGGAAACUUCUCUCAUGCAUUCUCAGCAGAACCGAGCAGAAGGCAGGAGUCAGUUCCAACUGCGAAGAAUGAAGCAAACAGCCACAGCCCACAGGGACCUCACAGCUGGCCAAGUUCUCUGUAGAGAGUAAAAAGUUCCUUUUCAAAAUUUCCCUCCCUGUUAAAGAAUAAACCAUUAAGUGUUAGAAAUAACA
ensembl:lncRNA